rnacentral:rRNA from 1 species
UGGCGGCGUGCUUAACACAUGCAAGUCGAACGAUGAACCACUUCGGUGGGGAUUAGUGGCGAACGGGUGAGUAACACGUGGGCAAUCUGCCCUGCACUCUGGGACAAGCCCUGGAAACGGGGUCUAAUACCGGAUAUUAACCGCUCAGGCAUCUGUCGCGGGUGCAAAGCUCCGGCGGUGCAGGAUGAGCCCGCGGCCUAUCAGCUUGUUGGUGAGGUAACGGCUCACCAAGGCCACUACGGGUAGCCGGCCUGAGAGGGCGACCGGCCACACUGGGACUGAGACACGGCCCAGACUCCUACGGGAGGCAGCAGUGGGGAAUAUUGCACAAUGGGCGAAAGCCUGAUGCAGCGACGCCGCGUGAGGGAUGACGGCCUUCGGGUUGUAAACCUUUGCCAGCAGGGAAGAAGCGAAAGUGACGGUACCUGCAGAAGAAGCGCCGGCUAACUACGUGCCAGCAGCCGCGGUAAUACGUAGGGCGCAAGCGUUGUCCGGAAUUAUUGGGCGUAAAGAGCUCGUAGGCGGCUUGUCACGUCGGUUGUGAAAGCCCGCGGCUUAACCCCGGGUCUGCAGUCGAUACGGGCAGGCUAGAGUUCGGUAGGGGAGAUCGGAAUUCCAGGUGUAGCGGUGAAAUGCGCAGAUAUCAGGAGGAACACCGGUGGCGAAGGCGGAUCUCUGGGCCGAUACUGACGCUCAGGAGCGAAAGCGUGGGGAGCGAACAGGAUUAGAUACCCUGGUAGUCCACGCCGUAAACGGUGGGAACUAGGU